CGGACGGGUGAGUAACACGUGGGUAACCUGCCCAUAAGACUGGGAUAACUCCGGGAAACCGGGGCUAAUACCGGAUAAUAUUUUGAACCGCAUGGUUCGAAAUUGAAAGGCGGCUUCGGCUGUCACUUAUGGAUGGACCCGCGUCGCAUUAGCUAGUUGGUGAGGUAACGGCUCACCAAGGCAACGAUGCGUAGCCGACCUGAGAGGGUGAUCUGCCACACUGGGACUGAGACACGGCCCAG
rnacentral:rRNA from 1 species